GAUGAACGCUGGCGGCGUGCCUAAUACAUGCAAGUCGAGCGAACAGACGAGGAGCUUGCUCCUCUGACGUUAGCGGCGGACGGGUGAGUAACACGUGGAUAACCUACCUAUAAGACUGGGAUAACUUCGGGAAACCGGAGCUAAUACCGGAUAAUAUAUUGAACCGCAUGGUUCAAUAGUGAAAGACGGUUUUGCUGUCACUUAUAGAUGGAUCCGCGCCGCAUUAGCUAGUUGGUAAGGUAACGGCUUACCAAGGCGACGAUGCGUACCCGACCUGAGAGGGUGAUCGGCCACACUGGAACUGAGACACGGUCCAGACUCCUACGGGAGGCAGCAGUAGGGAAUCUUCCGCAAUGGGCGAAAGCCUGACGGAGCAACGCCGCGUGAGUGAAGAAGGUCUUCGGAUCGUAAAACUCUGUUAUUAGGGAAGAACAAAUGUGUAAGUAACUAUGCACGUCUUGACGGUACCUAAUCAGAAAGCCACGGCUAACUACGUG
rnacentral:rRNA from 1 species